GGGGCUGUAACGGUUUCGACGUUUUGGCGAACGCUACUUUGUGAUGCAGGUCGAGAGUGAGUCGUCUCUCGAAAAUCAAAGGCUCAAAAGAAUAGAUGCAAACAACAUCGUUCCUUUUGCUCGUAAGGCAGCUGCUGUUGCUUAAACACCUCUUAUAGGUUCGAGCGUCUACAGUUUGACUCCGUUAAGGGCUGUGGACAAAAUUCAACGGAUGCUCUAAUUGUGUGCCUCUGGUCGCACAUUAGCUAAGACUUCACCAGAGCAUCCCACCGUCCGGGAUAAGGGACGGUUCCCGCUUUGAGGAUCAGAAAAGCUAAACCUGUGAAUGAGUGAAGUACUAAUACCCAGGGCGGACACGGGUUCGACUCCCGUCAGCUCCAUUG
rnacentral:tmRNA from 1 species